rnacentral:rRNA from 1 species
GAUGAACGCUAGCUACAGGCUUAACACAUGCAAGUCGCGGGGCAGCAUGGGGGUUGCUUGCAAUCCCCGAUGGCGACCGGCGCACGGGUGCGUAACGCGUAUCCAACCUGCCCUUCACCACGGGAUAACCCGGCGAAAGUCGGACUAAUACCGUAUGUUGUCCAUUGACGGCAUCCGAUUUGGCAGACAGGCUUGGCGGUGAGGGUUGGGGUUGCGUCCGAUUAGCCAGAAGGCGGGGUAACGGCCCACCGUGGCUACGAUCGGUAGGGGUUCUGAGAGGAAGGUCCCCCACACUGGAACUGAGACACGGUCCAGACUCCUACGGGAGGCAGCAGUGAGGAAUAUUGUGCAAUGGGCGUAAGCCUGAACCAGCCAAGUAGCGUGCAGGAUGACGGCCCUAGGGGUUGUAAACUGCUUUUAUGCGGGGACAAAGUGGCCCACGCGUGGGCUUUUGCAGGUACCGCAUGAAUAAGGACCGGCUAAUUCCGUG